AUACGGAGGGUGCAAGCGUUAAUCGGAAUUACUGGGCGUAAAGCGUGCGUAGGCGGUUCGUUAAGUCUGUUGUGAAAGCCCCGGGCUCAACCUGGGAAUGGCAAUGGAUACUGGCGAGCUAGAGUGUGUCAGAGGAUGGUGGAAUUCCCGGUGUAGCGGUGAAAUGCGUAGAGAUCGGGAGGAACAUCAGUGGCGAAGGCGGCCAUCUGGGACAACACUGACGCUGAGGCACGAAAGCGUGGGGAGCAAACAGGAUUAGAUACCCUGGUAGUCCACGCCCUAAACGAUGCGAACUGGAUGUUGGUCUCAACUCGGAGAUCAGUGUCGAAGCUAACGCGUUAAGUUCGCCGCCUGGGGAGUACGGUCGCAAGACUGAA
rnacentral:rRNA from 1 species